UACGGAGGAUGCGAGCGUUAUCCGGAUUUAUUGGGUUUAAAGGGUGCGUAGGCGGGCAUUUAAGCCGGCGGUCAAAUGUCGGGGCUCAACCCCGGCCUGCCGUCGGAACUGGGUGCCUUGAGUGGCGAGAAGUAUGCGGAAUGCGUGGUGUAGCGGUGAAAUGCAUAGAUAUCACGCAGAACUCCGAUCGCGAAGGCAGCCUACCGGCGCGCGACUGACGCUCAUGCACGAAGCGUGGGUAUCGAACAGG
rnacentral:rRNA from 1 species